rnacentral:rRNA from 1 species
UACGUAGGGUGCAAGCGUUACUCGGAAUUACUGGGCGUAAAGCGUGCGUAGGCGGUUUGUUAAGUCUGUUGUGAAAGCCCCGGGCUCAACCUGGGAAUGGCAAUGGAUACUGGCAGGCUAGAGUGCGGUAGAGGGUAGUGGAAUUCCCGGUGUAGCGGUGAAAUGCGUAGAGAUCGGGAGGAACACCAGUGGCGAAGGCGGCUACCUGGACCAGCACUGACGCUGAGGCACGAAAGCGUGGGGAGCAAACAGG